rnacentral:rRNA from 1 species
AGCGAACGCUGGCGGCAGGCCUAACACAUGCAAGUCGAACGAACUCUUCGGAGUUAGUGGCGGACGGGUGUGUAACACGUGGGAACGUGCCUUUUGGUUCGGAAUAACUCAGGGAAACUUGUGCUAAUACCGAAUGUGCCCUUCGGGGGAAAGAUUUAUCGCGAUUGGAGCGGCCCGCGUCUGAUUAGCUAGUUGGGGAGGUAACGGCUCACCAAGGCGACGAUCAGUAGCUGGUUUGAGAGGAUGGCCAGCCACACUGGGACUGAGACGCGGCCCAGACUCCUACGGGAGGGAGGAGAGGGUAAUCUUGCGCAAUGGGGGAAAGGAUGACGCAGCCAUGCCGGGAGAAUGAUGAAGGUCGGAGGAAUGUAAAAUUCUUUCACCGGGGACGAUAAUGACGGUACCCGAAGAAGAAGCCCCGGCUAACUUCGUG